rnacentral:rRNA from 1 species
AGAGUUCGAUCCUGGCUCAGGAUGAACGCUGGCGGCGUGCUUAACACAUGCAAGUCGAACGGGAAUUAUUUUAUUGAAACUUCGGUCGAUUUAAUUUAAUUCUAGUGGCGGACGGGUGAGUAACGCAUGGGUAACCUGCCUUAUACAGGGGGAUAACAGUCAGAAAUGACUGCUAAUACCGCAUAAGCGCACGGUACUGCAUGGUACGGUGUGAAAAACUCCGGUGGUAUGAGAUGGACCCGCGUUGGAUUAGCUAGUUGGCGGGGUAACGGCCCACCUAGUCUUCGAUGGAUAGGGGUUCUGAGAGGAAGGUCCCCCACAUUGGAACUGAGACACGGUCCAAACUCCUACGGGAGGCAGCAGUGAGGAAUAUUGGUCAAUGGGCGAGAGCCUGAACCAGCCAAGUAGCGUGAAGGAUGACUGCCCUAUGGGUUGUAAACUUCUUUUAUAAAGGAAUAAAGUCGGGUAUGCAUACCCGUUUGCAUGUACUUUAUGAAUAAGGAUCGGCUAACUCCGUGCCAGCAGCCGCGGUAAUACGGAGGAUCCGAGCGUUAUCCGGAUUUAUUGGGUUUAAAGGGAGCGUAGAUGGAUGUUUAAGUCAGUUGUGAAAGUUUGCGGCUCAACCGUAAAAUUGCAGUUGAUACUGGAUAUCUUGAGUGCAGUUGAGGCAAGCGGAAUUCGUGGUGUAGCGGUGAAAUGCUUAGAUAUCACGAAGAACUCCGAUUGCGAAGGCAGCCUGCUAAGCUGCAACUGACAUUGAGGCUCGAAAGUGUGGGUAUCAAACAGGAUUAGAUACCCUGGUAGUCCACACGGUAAACGAUGAAUACUCGCUGUUUGCGAUAUACAGCAAGCGGCCAAGCGAAAGCGUUAAGUAUUCCACCUGGGGAGUACGCCGGCAACGGUGAAACUCAAAGGAAUUGACGGGGGCCCGCACAAGCGGAGGAACAUGUGGUUUAAUUCGAUGAUACGCGAGGAACCUUACCCGGGCUUAAAUUGCAGAUGAAUUACGGUGAAAGCCGUAAGCCGCAAGGCAUCUGUGAAGGUGCUGCAUGGUUGUCGUCAGCUCGUGCCGUGAGGUGUCGGCUUAAGUGCCAUAACGAGCGCAACCCUUGUUGUCAGUUACUAACAGGUUCCGCUGAGGACUCUGACAAGACUGCCAUCGUAAGAUGUGAGGAAGGUGGGGAUGACGUCAAAUCAGCACGGCCCUUACGUCCGGGGCUACACACGUGUUACAAUGGGGGGUACAGAGGGCCGCUACCACGCGAGUGGAUGCCAAUCCCAAAAACCUCUCUCAGUUCGGACUGGAGUCUGCAACCCGACUCCACGAAGCUGGAUUCGCUAGUAAUCGCGCAUCAGCCACGGCGCGGUGAAUACGUUCCCGGGCCUUGCACUCACCGCCCGUCAAG